AGAAGUUAUUAGUCCUCUACUGAGCCAGAAGAAUAAGCUUUCAAUUGAUUAGGCUGGCCUCAAAAUACAUUGCAAAGUUAUACUUCUGCAGUGCAUGCACUGUUGUGCGUGGAAGGUUUAUGGACUUUGUGGACAUGAAGCCGCGGUCUCCGGUUAGAAAAGGUCGACUCGGGAGCUCUGUUUCCGUUACGUCUCGCCGGAGUCUCCAUCCUCCCGACGAGAGGGCUUUAACAUUGGGCCGUCGGCACAGACUGUGCUGAGGGAGACUGUUCCUGCAGCCCCACUCUGGCAAUGGAUGAGGCCCAGGACAGAAAGAAUGAUAUUCAAGAGAAUUAAACGGCUGAAAUAGACGCAGGUCAGUCAGCAAAUGUGAAGAUAGAUGCAGAGUUCAUACGUCAGGUUGAUGACCCGUCAAGGGAGUUAAAGGGCCUGUCCCACUUGCAUGCGUUUGGCGUGACCAAACGGAAGCGGAGU